rnacentral:misc_RNA from 1 species
AGCUGCUGCCCUUAACCCUGAAGCGCUAUAUACUUCCAAAAUGGCAAGAAAACCAAAGUUCCAACAUGCUGUGACAAUGGCCAUAAAGAAACUUUCAAGCUCAUCUUCAAAGGCUUCAGCUGCAAUUGAUCAAUAUACUUUCUUCAGAAAGCAAGCUGGGUUAUUUGGAGGAGAAGAGGCUAAAGAUUCAACACUUAAUGGCUGCACAAGUGCAGCUGAUUGGUGGGAUCAAUAUGGUGGAGACUACCCAGAAUUACAAGAGUUUGCACGUCGUAUUGUUUCUCAAUGCAUGUCCUCUAGUGGUUGCGAACGUAAUUGGAGUACCUUUGCUUUGGUUCAUACAAAAUUGAGGAAUCGGUUGAGUUAUGAUAAGUUGCAUAAACUAGUUUAUGUUCACUACAACUUGAAGUUGCGCAUUCAACAUUACGAAACUGAUAUGGAAAGUCUUGAACAAAUGAAAAACUCUAAAGAUAGGAACAUAGAUCCAUGUAGCAUCAUGAUAGAUGUUGCUAUGUAUGAUGAAGGCAACCCGAUUAUGGAAUGGUUGUGUAGUUCUAGGAGUGAAUCAUUGCCGACACUUGAUGAAAAUGAUGAGCCUGAAUCACCUAACAGACCAAGUGGAUUCGUUUUAGAGGAGUUAGGAGGAUUGAAUGAAGAAGAGAUGGUUCUUUUAAAUUCUAGGAUUGGUUCUCGUAGGAAAAAUGUUAGGAAAAGGAAGGUUGCAGAAGAAGAUAUUGGAGAUGAUUUCCUAUCAGAUAGUAGUGAGGGAGCGGGUAGCCCAACCUAUGACGAGUCAGGUGACAGUGAGUCAAAUGAUGGUGGUGGUGAUGAUGAAGAUGGUGACCCUAGUGGUCCAAGUUCUGCAGCUAGGCCACCAACUCAUAAUGGUCCUGGUCAAGAUGAACAACCAGCCGCUCUCCGUCCAAG